rnacentral:rRNA from 1 species
AAUGGGCGCAAGCCUGAUCUAGCCAUGCCGCGUGAGUGAUGAAGGCCUUAGGGUCGUAAAGCUCUUUCGCCAGGGAUGAUAAUGACAGUACCUGGUAAAGAAACCCCGGCUAACUCCGUGCCAGCAGCCGCGGUAAUACGGAGGGGGUUAGCGUUGUUCGGAAUUACUGGGCGUAAAGCGCACGUAGGCGGACUAUUAAGUCGGGGGUGAAAUCCCGGGGCUCAACCCCGGAACUGCCUCCGAUACUGGUAGUCUUGAGUUCGAGAGAGGUGAGUGGAAUUCCAAGUGUAGAGGUGAAAUUCGUAGAUAUUCGGAGGAACACCAGUGGCGAAGGCGGCUCACUGGCUCGAUACUGACGCUGAGGUGCGAAAGUGUGGGGAGCAAACAGGAUU